UUUUAUUCCUUUAAGAAAGCCUUGGCCUUCAAGUUAAAAUCCAGUACAGGGAAUUUGAAUCUGAAUAGAAUUUGCUGAAAGAUGACAGAAACAACAGGAAUUCUGAAACAGUAGGGCUUAAUGAGAGGGUUUGCUGGGAGACUCCAAAUCCUGCAGAUGAUUGAGUGUCUACCACCAUGGGAGAUGUGAGUGCAUCCCUCCAGCUGAGCAGACCUCACCCACAAGACCCCUCUGCACUGGAUGAAAUGAACCCAUCCAAAAAGGCCAGACUUCACUGAGGAACAGAGGUGGCCUAGUCAAAGGCAGGCCUUGGAGACAACCACUGUUGUCAGCUCUGAUGACCUGAUUUCUUGCCACCUCCCUGUGAUUUCAAUUUGAACCUGAGCACUUAGGAAAAAAAAUUCACUUGGAUGAGUCUGCAAAUAACUUUGCAUUCUUCUAUAUGUUUUUCCAUAUUUACAGCAUUCCACUAAUUUCAGUGAGUACUCACACAGCUUUGCAAACUUAGGCACAAAUUAAUUAGGACCAGAGCUCAGCUCAUGGAGUGCUUCAAAUGACUUAUGAAAGUUGAUGACACCGUGAUGCACUUUCACAGAGCAAGAUGAAAAAACUCAGAAGGCCUCAUGGAUACCUGGGCCAGG